AUCCGGCUGAUUAGUCCCAAAAAUAGGACGAAACGCGCGUCUUGGAU
rnacentral:hammerhead_ribozyme from 1 species